CCGGUUGAUGAUGAGGACAUGAUGUCCUACGUGCUUGCUGGACUGGACGACGACUACGAGCCAGUCGUUUCAUCUCUAGUUGGGAGAACAAAACCUGUUUCUUUUUCUGAAUUAUACUCUCAGCUUUUGAGUUUUGAGU
rfam:Oryza brachyantha chromosome 4, whole genome shotgun sequence.